AUUGAACGCUGGCGGCAUGCUUUACACAUGCAAGUCGAACGGUAACAGGGUGCUUGCACCGCUGACGAGUGGCGAACGGGUGAGUAAUGCGUCGGAACGUGCCGAGUAGUGGGGGAUAACGCAGCGAAAGUUGUGCUAAUACCGCAUACGUACUGAGGUAGAAAGUGGGGGACCUUCGGGCCUCACGCUAUUCGAGCGGCCGACGUCUGAUUAGCUAGUAGGUGAGGUAAAGGCUCACCUAGGCGACGAUCAGUAGCGGGUCGGGGAGGAUGAUCCGCCACACUGGGACUGAGACACGGCCCAGAAUCCUACGGGAGGCAGCAGUGGGGAAUUUUGGACAAUGGGCGAAAGCCUGAUCCAGCCAUGCCGCGUGUCUGAAGAAGGCCUUCGGGUUGUAAAGGACUUUUGUCAGGGAGGAAAUCCCUAGUGCUAAUAACACUGGGGGAUGACAGUACCUGAAGAAUAAGCACCGGCUAACUACGUGCCAGCCGCCGCGGUAAAAC
rnacentral:rRNA from 1 species